GUGAGUCAUCGAGUCUUUGAACGCAUAUUGCGCUCCCUGGCAUUCCGGGGAGCAUGCCUGUUUCAGUAUCAGCACUCGAAAGCUGCCCGCCCUCGCGGCGGAGCGGCUGCUGUUGGGCGCCUCUCGACGUGCUCGAGUCGCCUGAAAUGGAGAGCACGGCAGUGGCGACUCGCAACCAUCGCGCCCUGGCGUAAUAUGCAGCCCUCGCGGGCACUAUUGCUGUUCGCCUCGGUGUCGAGAGUCGUGCUGGGCCGUCGCCUCGUACGCGCCGCAAGGCGCAACCGCAUUGAUCUGAAAUCAGGCAAGAUUACCCGCUGAACUUAAGCAUAUCAAUAAGCGGAGG
rnacentral:rRNA from 1 species